ACUCGAGUGGCGAACGGGUGAGUAACACUUGGGUGAUCUGCCCUGCACUUCGGGAUAAGCCUGGGAAACUGGGUCUAAUACCGGAUAGGAGCCAUUUUUAGUGUGAUGGUUGGAAAGUUUUUCGGUGUAGGAUGAGCUCGCGGCCUAUCAGCUUGUUGGUGGGGUAAUGGCCUACCAAGGCGGCGACGGGUAGCCGGCCUGAGAGGGUGGACGGCCACAUUGGGACUGAGAUACGGCCCAG
rnacentral:rRNA from 1 species